rnacentral:lncRNA from 1 species
UUCCUUUUACGUUGUUCUUUAGAGGUUUUGGGAGAGGUUCUUUCUUUGGUGUUUGAGACAGAACCUAAUGCCUCUUCUUGUGAUGGCAAGUUCUUCCUUUUACGUUGUUCUUUAGAGGUUUUGGGGGAGGUUCUUUCUUUGGUGUUUGAGACGGAACCUAAUGCCUUUUCUUGUGAUGGUGAAUUCUUCCUUUUCCGUUGAUCCUUAGAGGUUUUCGCAAAGUUGCUUUCUUUGGUGAUUGAGAAGAUAAAGCCCAAUGCCUCAGCUUAUGAUUCAUCAAUGGAUAACCUCCGUCUUUUAUCACGAUAUCUGGCUGGUAUAUUUUCCUUGUCGUUAUUUUCAUGUUUCUCUUCUAAUGCCUCCACAACAGCAAAUUCUUCUGAAGCAACCGAUGUAGGUUGUGAGACUUUCUUCUUGGUUAUAGCUCUUGGUGCAUCUCUUGCUGAAAUUGAUUUGUCAUUUUUCUCCUUUUGGUGUCUCUUUAUACAAGUCAUUAUUGGAGUCUUCUCC